GCGCAAUUAGCUCAGUUGGAUAGAGCGACAGCCUCCGAAGCUGUAGGCCGUGAGUUCGAUUCUCGCAUUGCGCACCA
rnacentral:tRNA from 1 species